GAAAUAGACUACCCGUGGUAGUCCACCGCCGUAAACGAUGAGUGCUAAGUGUUAGGGGUUUCCGCCCCUUAGUGCUGCAGCUAACGCAUUAAGCACUCCGCCUGGGGAGUACGGUCGCAAGACUGAAACUCAAAGGAAUUGACGGGGGCCCGCACAAGCGGUGGAGCAUGUGGUUUAAUUCGAAGCAACGCGAAGAACCUUACCAGGUCUUGACAUCCCGUUGACCACUGUAGAGAUAUGGUUUUCCCUUCGGGGACAACGGUGACAGGUGGUGCAUGGUUGUCGUCAGCUCGUGUCGUGAGAUGUUGGGUUAAGUCCCGCAACGAGCGCAACCCUUGAUCUUAGUUGCCAUCAUUUAGUUGGGCACUCUAAGGUGACUGCCGGUGACAAACCGGAGGAAGGUGGGGAUGACGUCAAAUCAUCAUGCCCCUUAUGACCUGGGCUACACACGUGCUACAAUGGACGGUACAAAGAGUCGCUAACUCGCGAGAGUACGCUAAUCUCAUAAAACCGUUCUCAGUUCGGAUUGUAGGCUGCAACUCCG
rnacentral:rRNA from 1 species